UACGUAGGCAGCAAGCGUUGUUCGGAAUUACUGGGCGUAAAGAGUACGUAGGCGGUUCCGCAAGUUUGUCGUGAAAUCUCCCGGCUUAACUGGGAGGGUGCGGCGAAGACUGCGGAGCUGGAGUGUGGGAGAGGUAAGCGGAAUUCCUGGUGUAGCGGUGAAAUGCGUAGAUAUCAGGAGGAACACCGGCGGUGUAGACGGCUUACUGGACCAUGACUGACGCUGAGGCACGAAAGCGUGGGGAGCAAACAGG
rnacentral:rRNA from 1 species